UCCUACCGCACUUAGGCUGCGAACUGGCAGUGAUAUUUUAGACCUGGAAAGGCAAGCAAGGAAAAAAAAAACCUGAGAAAUUUGUGAGUUCGCCGGCAAGAGACGCGUUGAGACCUGUAAUGCUGCACGUAGAUCUGAACGAAGCAGCCUUGCAGUGAAUAAUAUCAACUGGAUACUCAGGUAGAAGAGCAGAAGUGUGGAGGUACUGUGCAACCCAAGAGUGAAGAGGACACCUGGAGAGGAGAGCCUCUAAGUCCCCUGAAGAAUACCCUUGCUGUCGAGAUGAUAUAUGCCGUUGCUCGAAGCAACCAAGUAGACAGAGGAGACAGAGGGGUAAAAGUGUGGGGAAUGGUUGGAAUAAUGCUUGGCCUCCUCAAGUCUGGGACUACAGGUCCCCGCCUAAAAUGCCACCAAAUGGUGAAGCAUGGAAGACAAACUCUUGUCGCCUUUACCUCCCACACCCAUAUUAAUGCAGUUUGUUAUAAUGUGCAACAAUUAGAAAUUUGUUCCUUAGGGGGAUGCAGUUUUUGGGUAGGCCACAACCUAGCGAUAGGGUACCCAAAUGACGGAACAAUGGCCAUGGAAAGGAGAGUUGUUAACCCCAGCCCAGUGAGUGGAACCGGACUGAGGUUACGGAAUCACAUGUCCUGAAGGAUGGAUGUUAAACAAUGAGGUAUUUGGGCAUUGCUGUAUUAAGCAAAAAGGAGAUGUAUUCCAAAAAGGGUAGGAGAAUUAGGUUGUAGGAACCUGUUAACAACUAAUGGCAAUUCUGCCUCACAUUGGUGGCCCCAUAGCCCUGAGGGAUAUUGGAAUAAGAAUUGUGCUAAUGAAACUGUGUGUUAUCAUUCACAAAAUAACAGUAACCCUUUUAUGGAGAUAAUUGGACUAAAGAAUUUUUGGGAAAACCCUCAAAGGAGUGAUUCUGCAAGGCAAGCACCAGAUGGGUUAUUCUGGGUUUGUGGAAAGAGGGCCUAUGCAGAAUUGCCAGGAAAGUGGAAGAGGUUCUGUACUAUUGGAAUAAUACAACCAGCCUUCUUUCUGUUAUCAAAAGCUUGGUGGAAAAGAGUGGGGUUUAUUCUUUUAUGUGUUUUUGGAGGAUUGAUAUGCAUAAUUCCUUGCGUUAUUUGCUUGAACCAGACACCAGUACAAGAAAUGCAGGGAGACUGGGGAGGGUCAGGUGUAAAGAUGUAUGUCCUCAAGAAAAAGGAAGAAGAAGGAAGUCGAAGUCGAGUGGAAGGAGUACUUAGAAGGACGGAAGCAUUGACACGGGUAAAUAUGAUCAAAAAGAAAAUGGGGGAUUGUGAAAAAUGGUUCCUGUGUCAAUAAAAGAAUGGCAAAGCAGAAUACAGAAUAUAAGAAAAUGAAAAUAUGUCACUAUGGGAACGGCAGAGCAGGGUGUGUCGGAGCUAACUAAGCUGGAGACGUUGGAACCUACGAGCGAUAACAGAAAGCGCUGUGAAGAGAUACCCCCCUGUGAAUAGGGGACAUGAACAAAACAGGGGUGUGCCAGAGCUAACUGAAGCAAAGCCAGGGACGAACAAUAACAGAGAAACACUAUGAACAUGGUAGAUAAGAAACUAAAAAGCGUGCAAACAUGAAGACACAAAGAGCUGAGUCACAAAGACACCUGAGGAAGACUCAUUACUUCAGCCUCACGACCACCAGAGAGACCCCCAGGAGGAUUAGCAGGCAUGCGCAACAGCUCCAGGAAAAACCACAAACUCCUCGGGAAGUGUUUGCCUAUGAUUAAACUGCUUUGUGAAUGUGUAUGUGAGCGGGAAAUAAAAACCCUGCAGCUGCAUGUGUACAGUGCGCAGCUGCAAACUGCCUGUGCCCAGCGCUGCUCCUUGCUUGCCAAAAUAAAACUCCUUAAACUUA